rnacentral:rRNA from 1 species
UACGUAGGGACCGAGCGUUGUCCGGAAUCAUUGGGCGUAAAGAGCGUGUAGGCGGCUAUUUAAGUCCUGCGUGAAAUCCUGCGGCUCAACCGCAGACGGUCGUGGGAAACUGGAUGGCUAGAGUGCGGGGAGAGGAGAGUGGAAUUCCCGGUGUGAGCGGUGAAAUGCGCAGAUAUCGGGAAGAACACCCGUGGCGAAGGCGGCUCUCUGGAACGCAACUGAACGCAUGAGACG